CGGUGAAGGAAUGAGACUUGAAAACCCUUUAACUCGUUUUCUGUGGGAAACGUAAUAGCACAGCUGUUUGGCCAAUACACCGAUACGGAUCCGCUGAGGAUUCAAGUGGGCAACGACGGGAGAUUUGAAGGGACACAGAGCCGGGAGCAGCCGUUGAUGGCCGAGGUUCGCUGCUUCGGAGCUGUCCCGCCCAGAGCCGCAGCGACCGACCGCGAGAUUUUGGAAGUCUUAUCGUACAUAACCAUAAACAUGAAAUCUUUGAGCUCUACCUUCCUCCCAUACCAAUAGCUGUCAUUCCAGCAUUUGACAGACAAUUGCUUUUAAGUGACAGAGCUGAUGUUGGCAUGGUUUUCAUCUCUUCAGCAAGAUCAAAAACUUUGGUGGUGAGAACUGGACAGUAUGAACAUCUGCUGGCAAUAACACAUACACACAGUGCCAAAAUGUGGGCUGUGAGGACUUCAGGGAGUCAAACAAACAUCCUGCAGUGGCCCGAUGAGGAAUUCAAUUCCUAAGGAAAUUGCCUUUGAGGACUUUGCUUCCCAGAAGAGUAU
ensembl:lncRNA